rnacentral:rRNA from 1 species
CUACGGUGAAUACGUUCCCGGACCUUGCACACACCGCCCGUCAAGCCAUGGGAGCCGGGUGUACCUAAAGUCGAUAACCGUAAGGAGUCGCCUAGGGUAAAACUAGUAACUGGGGCU